CGCGUAGGCGGCUUUGUAAGUCUGGAGUGAAAGUCCUCUUUUCAAGGGAGGAAUUGCUUUGGAAACUAUAGAGCUUGAGUGCAGGAGAGGUUAUCGGAAUUCCCGGUGUAGCGGUGAAAUGCGUAGAUAUCGGGAGGAACAUCGGUGGCGAAGGCGGGUAACUGGACUGCAACUGACGCUGAGGCGCGAAAGUGUGGGGAGGCAAAACA
rnacentral:rRNA from 1 species